rnacentral:rRNA from 1 species
UAUCUCUGUAGAGUCUGCAUAUCAAUAAGCGGAGGAAAAGAAACUAACUAGGAUUCCCUCGAGUAACGGCGAGUGAAGCGGGAAGAGCUCAAAUUUGAAAUCUUCAAGGUUUUACCUUGACGAAUUGUAGUUUAAAGAAGUGUUUUCUGUUGGAAGUUUUGGUAAAAGUUCUUUGGAAUAGGACAUCAUAGAGGGUGAGAAUCCCGUAUUUGACCAUUAUUUCCAGCUUUGUGAUACACUUUCAAAGAGUCGGAUUGUUUGGGAAUGCAGUCCAAAAUGGGUGGUAAAUUUCAUCUAAAGCUAAAUAUUGGCGAGAGACCGAUAGCGAACAAGUACCGUGAGGGAAAGAUGAAAAGAACUUUGAAAAGAGAGUUAAACAGUACGUGAAAUUGUCAAAAGGGAAGCGUUUGACACCAGUGUUGUUUUCUCGAAAAUCAAUUAAAAAAGGCCGGAUUUUGUGUUGUAUUGACCUUAAAAGCUUUCUUCACUCUUUUCUUGUCUUUUUUAAUGCACUUUUCGUUUAACAAGUCAACAUCAGUUUCUUUUGUUGUAAAAGGGUCAUUGGAAGGUGGCUUUCUUUUCGGAGAAAGUGUUUAUAGCCUUUGAUCUCUGCAACCGGAGAGACUGAGGUCUGCAGCGUAGACUCUUCGGGGUUAGAUACAUUUGUGCUAAGCUAUAGCUUUUUAUAGACAACUUGUUGACUAUAUUUAGUCUUGUGGCUUACUCGCUUAUGCUAUUUUACCUACGCUUAGGAUGUUGAUGUGAUACUGCGAGCA